ACACAUGCAGUAUGUCUGGAACAAAAUUUUGUAGUAACCAAUAGGUUAUCUCUCAUCAUUAAAAAUGAUUGUUAUGAAAUAAUUAAUAACCUAUAUUAACAUUUGAAAACGGUACUAUAUUAUCAUAAUAAAAUUUUUUUAUCUUAUGAAAACGGUUCUCUUUUACACUAACAGAUGCAUUAGUAUUGUAGGAUAUAAUAAACUCGUGUACACUUUAUUGUAUGAAAAAAUUUUUUAAUGAGCAUAAACUAAGAAUUUGAUAAAAAUUAAAAACGUGAAAAAUUUUAUACUAUUAGAAAUAUAUUAAUUGUUCAACAUCUAGAGAACAUUAUUACUUUUGAUAUUUUCACCCUAAUUAUGUGAUACAAGGAAUCUUCUAACAUAAUGUCAAUUACUCGUGUAAUAUGUGUCUCGUAUAGAAUUUUAGCAUAAGCAACACGUCACAUUUGAUGGAAAAUAGUACAUCUGAACAGAGAUUAGUGUUACAUAGAGUGUUUACGACACUAUUACAGAAUUUGACACUACAUGUUUUUUCUUAAAGCGACAAUUAAAUCUUUGUAACUGUAGAAGAAUAUUUAUAACUACGAAUGUUAAUAUUACAAAUAAAUUUUGCAUUAUGAAACGAUGUUAGAGCAAAGAUCGCUUCUUAUUGUACAAAGGAUAAUAAAAUGUGAAAAGUCCUGCAAAGUUAAGAAAUUUACGUAAAUCACACGUAGAACAUGACACAUGCAAAAGUUUAACCUAAUCAACUUAUUGUCAUUUUAUUUAAUGAAAAAUUAUUUCUUUUAACAGGCUUAUUUCUUAUUCAUGCUUCCUUGCCAUCACAAAAAUUGUCAAAAGUUUUUUUGCUCAAAUGAGUCUUAUGUAAAAAUGGUUCCAUUAAUUAUUGCAUAUGUUAAAUGUAUUGGGUCAAUAAACAAUAAUGUAACAAGUUUAUAAAAUA